rnacentral:rRNA from 1 species
AAUUUUGGACAAUGGGCGAAAGCCUGACCCAGCAAUGCCGCGUGCAGUAUGAAGAACUUCGGGUUGUAAACUGCUUCUGUACGGAACGAAAAGCUUUGGGUUAAUACCCUGGAGUUAUGACGUUACCGUAAGUAGAAGCACCGGCUAACUACGUGUCAGCAGCCGCGGUAAUACGUAGGGUUGAAGCGUUAAUCGGAAUUACUGGGCGUAAAGCGUGCGCAGGCGGUUUUGUAAGACAGAGGUGAAAUCCCCGGGCUCAACCUGGGAACUGCCUUUGUGACUGCAAGGCUAGAGUACGGCAGAGGGGGGUGGAAUUCCGCGUGUAGCAGUGAAAUGCGUAGAUAUGCGGAGGAACACCGAUGGCGAAGGCAACCCCCUGGGCCUGUACUGACGCUCAUGCACGAAAGCGUGGGGAGCAAACA